GAGGAAUAUUGGUCAAUGGGCGCGAGCCUGAACCAGCCAAGUAGCGUGCAGGAUGACAGCCCUAUGGGUUGUAAACUGCUUUUGUAUGGGGAUAAAGUCAAUCACGUGUGAUUGUUUGCAGGUACCAUACGAAUAAGGACCGGCUAAUUCCGUGCCAGCAGCCGCGGUAAUACGGAAGGUCCGGGCGUUAUCCGGAUUUAUUGGGUUUAAAGGGAGCGUAGGCCGGAGAUUAAGUGUGUUGUGAAAUGUAGACGCUCAACGUCUGACUUGCAGCGCAUACUGGUUUCCUUGAGUACGCACAACGUUGGCGGAAUUCGUCGUGUAGCGGUGAAAUGCUUAGAUAUGACGAAGAACUCCGAUUGCGAAGGCAGCUGACGGGAGCGCAACUGACGCUUAAGCUCGAAGGUGCGGGUAUCGAACAGGAUUAGAUACCCUGGUAGUCCGCACAGUAAACGAUGGAUGCCCGCUGUUGGUACCUGGUAUCAGCGGCUAAGCGAAAGCAUUAAGCAUCCCACCUGGGGAGUACGCCGGCAACGGUG
rnacentral:rRNA from 1 species